rnacentral:rRNA from 1 species
GAUGAACGCUAGCGGCAGGCUUAACACAUGCAAGUCGAGGGGCAGCAUGCUGAUAGCUUGCUAUCAGUGAUGGCGACCGGCGCACGGGUGAGUAACGCGUAUCCAACCUGCCUGUCACUCAGGAAUAGCCCGGUGAAAACCGGAUUAAGUCCUGAUGAUAUCAUUAGAGGGCAUCUGACGAUGAUUAAAGGUUACGGUGACAGAUGGGGGAUGCGUCUGAUUAGCUUGUUGGCGGGUAACGCCCACAAGGCAACGAUCAGUAGGGUUCUGAGAGGAAGGUCCCCCANAUUGGAACUGAGACACGGUCC